rnacentral:lncRNA from 1 species
AUUCAGUUUGGAUUGACCCGAUUAGGUUAAAUGUUGACCUAAUCGCUAAGGUGGUUUAGUCCCUGAUUUGAUCAGGGGUUAGGUUUAGUUAAUUUCUGAUUUGAUUAAAAUUUUAUUGAGCCUAAUUAAGCCUAGUUAUGUUGGGUUUAAUCUGAUCUAAUUGUGCUUAACCUAUUUUAAACUAGGUUGGCUCAAUUUGAAUCAAAUCACCUUGUUUUAAAUUCCCUGAGACACCCAACUUCCUUGCACCCAUUUGUAUUCACGAGAAGAAACUUCUCGUGAAAUUUUUCUCACGCAAAACCCUUCCCCACGCCCUCAUUUGUGCGCCAUAUGGAUGGAUAAAAUAAUUAGUUAGCCAUUCAAAUUCAAAGCAUGUUUGAAUUUGAAUGGAUAACUUAUCACUUGCCCUUUCAUCCUUAUCCAUUUUGUGCACCACAUUACUUACACGAGAAAAGGUUUCUCGUAAAACAUUUUCCAUGCACAAAGAGCCACGCCCCUUCUCUUCUCACACCCAAAAGGAUAGGGAUAAGUUGGUUUUCGUUUGAAUUCAAAUUUGAUUUGAAUUCAAAN